AGGACGAACGCUGGCGGCGUGCUUAACACAUGCAAGUCGAGCGGAAAGGCCCUUCGGGGUACUCGAGCGGCGAACGGGUGAGUAACACGUGAGCAACCUGCCCUUAGCUCUGGGAUAGCUCCGGGAAACCGGGAUUAAUACCAGAUACGACCACUUUAGACAUCUGCUGUGGUGGAAAGGAUUCCGGCUAGGGAUGGGCUCGCGGCCUAUCAGCUUGUUGGUGGGGUAACGGCCUACCAAGGCGACGACGGGUA
rnacentral:rRNA from 1 species